rnacentral:tRNA from 1 species
AGCCUGCUAGCUCAGUCGGUUAGAGCGUCGUGCUAAUAACGCGAAGGUCGUAGGUUCGAUCCCUGGGCAGGCCA